UUCCUCUAUUCCUUCUAUUCCUUCUAUUCCUCUAUUCCUCUCUUCCUCUAUUCCUCCUUUCAUUCUAUUCCUCUAUUCCUAUAUUCCUUCUAUUCCUCUAUUCCUUCUAUUUCUCUAUUCCUCUAUUCCUUCUAUUCCUCUAUUCCUUCUAUUCCUCCAUUCCUUCUAUUCCUCUAUUCCUCUAUUCCUCUAUUCCUUCUAUUCCUCUAUUCCUCUCUUCCUUCUAUUCCUCUAUUCCUCCUUUCCUUCUAUUCCUCCCUUCCUUCUAUUCCUCUAUUCCUUCUAUUUCUCUAUUCCUCUAUUCCUUCUAUUCCUCUAUUCCUUCUAUUCCUCCAUUCCUUCUAUUCCUCUAUUCCUCUAUUCCUCUAUUCCUUCUAUUCCUCUAUUCCUCUCUUCCUUCUAUUCCUCUAUUCCUCCUUUCCUUCUAUUCCUCCCUUCCUUCUAUUCCUCUAUUCCUUCUAUUCCUCUAUUCCUCCCUUCCUUCUAUUCCUCCCUGCUAUUCCUCCCUUCCUUCUAUUCCUCUAUUCCUCCCUUCCUUCUAUUCCUCCCUGCUAUUCCUCUCUUCCUUCUGUCCCUGUAUGUAUGAAUGUAUGAGUGGAGGAAAGGUCUUCAUCCUAAUGCUUUCACCAGUCCAUCUCUGUCCCACCUGAGAUGACAGUUACAAGUGAAAAGACACAAUGACAUCCUCCCUGUGUGAGAGGAAUGAAGCUUUUUAAAUUAGAAUCACAUUUAAAUCUGAACGAGAACACUGACAAUCACAUUCCAAUGCUUCUGUAUAGCCCAACAUUCACAAGAUUUCUUAGAACACUUACAAUCCCAUUCUGGAAUAUUCCGACACUGACAAUCAGAUUCCUGAGGCCUUCUAGAACACAGAAAAAAAGAAUUCAAAAGCAACCUGGUUUUCAUCAGAACUACUUCUUUCUACUCCGCAUUCUAAUGAUAUACAGAGGACAGUAAAGUGUGUAUCUGCUCUAUUAAAUAUUCACUCAGGCAGCCCUUUCAGACUGCAUAACAGGACUGCGUCCCAAUUGGCACCCUAUUCCCUACAUAGCGCACUACUUUUGACCAGGGCCAUAGGGCGUAAGGAAUAGGAUGCUAUGUGGGAUGAAGCCUUAGUGUGUAGGAAGUAGUGCAUAGAGAAUUACACUGUAUACACAAGCUGAGAGAUGGAGGAUAAUGCAUACAUACAUUACGUGCUACAAAGUGUGUGUGUGUGUGUGUGUGUGUGUGUGUGUGUGUGUGUGUGUGUGUGAGAAGGAUGCAGAGAAUAUUGGAUGAAUGUAUAGGUAAUGUAUAGGUAAUGUAUAGGCAUUGUAUAGGUAAUGUGUAGGUAAUGUUAGUUCAUGCAUAUGGCAUGUGUAGGUAAUGUGUAGGUAAUGUGUAGGUGAUGUGCAGGUAAUGUAUGGGUAAUGUGUAGGUGAUGUGCAGGUAAUGUAUGGGUAAUGUGUAGGUGAUGUGCAGGUAAUGUGUAGGUAAUGUGUAGGCAAUGUAUAGGUGAUGUGCAGGUAAUGUAUGGGUAAUGUGUAGGUGAUGUGCAGGUAAUGUAUGGGUAAUGUGUAGGUGAUGUGCGGGUAAUGUGUAGGUAAUGUAUAGGUGAUGUGCAGGUAAUGUGUAGGUAAUGUGUAGGUGAUGUGCAGGCAAUGUGUAGGUAAUGUGUAGGCAAUGUAUAGGUGAUGUGCAGGUAAUGUAUGGGUAAUGUGUAGGUGAUGUGCAGGUAAUGUAUGGGUAAUGUGUAGGUAAUGUGCAGGUAAUGUGCAGGUAAUGUGCAGGUAAUGUGUAGGCAAUGUACAGGUAAAGUAUAGAUAAUGUAAUGUGCCAUACCAUCACACUACUCUAUACCAUCACAAUACUCUAUACCAUCACACUACUCUAUACCAUCAUCCAUACUCCAUACCAUCACACUACUCCAUACCAUCACAAUACUCCAUACCAUCACACUACUCCAUACCAUCACAAUACUCCAUACCAUCACACUACUCUAUACCAUCAUCCAUACUCCAUACCAUCACACGACUCUAUACCAUCAUCCAUACUCCAUACCAUCACACUACUCCAUACCAUCACACUACUCUAUACCAUCACACUACUCUAUACCAUCACACUACUCUAUACCAUCAUCCAUACUCCAUACCAUCACACUACUCUAUACCAUCACACUACUCUAUACCAUCACACUACUCUAUACCAUCA
ensembl:lncRNA